GCUCAGCCUUUGUGGGCUCACGCUGGUCUUGCCAGGGAGACCCCCAGCCUGGAUGCCUCGUGUUGCUCUCAUGGCACUGCCACGAGGGAGCCCAGUCUGCCGGGAGCAGUGACACCGCUGAUGGUGCUGUGCCACUUGCCAUCACGGACUGACUGCUGCCCUGAGGACAGGCAACGUUUUGCUCCCCCUCCAGGCAGGCAGUGAAAUGAGAUCGAUGGGGAAAGUCCUGCAGACCUGAUGUAUCUACUCUAUGCCUUUUCCCAGUAGUUAGUCAUUUUCCUGCAUCAGCAGAAGAGAAUGAGAGCUGUUUCAAACAACCUGUUUCAAGAGCAUCCCUGUGCUGUCUUGGGAAGCAUCAAAUGAGGACAAAUGUGCCUGACCCUUUCCAGCUGCUGCUGCUGCUGUGUUUGGUAAGAGAGAACGCAUACAUUGGACCUGGAAAAAGGAAUAAAAGUGGUAAGAGAGAUGUUCUCGUCAAAACACCUUCCCAUGGCUCUGGCCUGU
ensembl:lncRNA